ensembl:lncRNA
UAAACAGAUGUACAGUCUAUGUCUUGUAUUACUUUCAUUGAGGGGAUGUUUAAGGUAACAUUUAUCUGAAAAGGCUCCCUAGGAAACUGGUGAUGAUUAAAAAAAAAAAAGGUUGAGAAAUAGUGCUUUAAAUUGAAGAUGCUGAGAGGUGCUGAGCAGAAGGGCUACUGGGAUUUGAACAAUUUCUAAUUGAGAGGAGGUGGAAGGUGAUGCUUCAGAAUUGUAUUGCCAGAAAAUAUUUUUAUCCAGAGAUUUUCAGUAACUGAAACAAAAGGAAAUAGAACUAAGUGAUGUCAUGUAUUCAGGUUAAAUGUGAAGCAGUUGUUCCUGUCAGAGAGCUUCAUUUAAUAACACAGGGAGAAGUUAGAAAAUAGGGAAAAUUUCCUUCUGCCUGGAGUUCUUUAGGAAACGUCCUGUGGGAAGCAAGAUAAGUCUCCUCAGGGGCUGUCAGUCCAUGGAGUCGUUGAGGAGGGAGCUUUCAAACCAGUGUUUUAUUUUAUUUUAUUUUUUUGUCUUUUUAGGGUCAUACCUGAGGUAUAUGAAGGUUCCCAGCCUUGCUCAGUGGGUUAAGGAUCCGGCAUUGCUGCAAGUUGUGGUAUAAGUCACAGAUGCAGCUCAGAUCUGGUAUUGCCAUGGCUGUGGUGUAGGUCUUAAGCUGCAGCUCUGAUUUGACCCCUGGCCCAAGAACUUCCACAUGCUGUAGGUAUAGCCAUUAAAAACAAACAAAAAACUCAAACAAAACAACAACAGCUGGGUGCCACUUCUCCCAUCAUUUGGAUAACUGGGAACAUUCUAGUAUGGACUGUAUUUAGGUUCAGUACAAUAACACUGUAUUUUUUUUUUCUUCCGACCAUGCGUGACUUUCAUUUUUUUCUUUUUUUUUUCAGUUUAUUUUUUUAAAUUACUCAGUGAAUUUUAUUACAUUUAUAGGUGUACAACAAUCAUCACACCCAAAUUUUACAGCAUUUCCUUCCCAAACCCUCAGUGCAUCCCCCAUCCCCCAACCUGUCUCAUUUGGAAACCAUAAGUUUUUCAAAGUCUGUGAGUCAGUGUCUGUUAUGCAAAGAAGUUCAUUGUCUCCUUUUUUUAGAUUCCACAUGUAAGUGAUAGCAUAUGAUGUUGGUGUCUCACUGUCUGACUGACUUCAUUUAGCAUGGUAGUUUCUAGGUCUAUCCAUGUUGGUGCAAAUGCCGUUAUUUCUUUCCUUUUAAUGGCUGAGUAAUAUUCCACCGUGUAUAUGUACCACAUCUUCUUGAUCCACUCCUCUGUUGAUGGACAUUUAGGUUGUUUCCAUGUCUUGGCUACAGUAACACUGUAUUGAAUCAGUGUUAACUGCCAGAAAUUGAUAACUGCACUGUGGUUAUAUAAGAGAAUGUUCUUGUUCUUGGAAAAUACAUAAUAAAGUAUUUAGGGGGAAAAGGAGAUGCCUUGCCUCAUAAAUGGUUCCAGAAAACUGAUAUAAGAAGGAGGGAGAGGAAAGAGGAAGAGGGGGGAGGUAGGUGGGUGUGGAUGGAGGGGAGGAAAGGCAGGGGCCGAGGAGGACAGGGCAGAGAGGAUAAAGCAGAUGUCAGAACAUCAGUAACUGAGAGGUCCCUGGUGGCUCAGCGGUUUAAGGAUCUAGCAUCGUCACUGCUCUGGUGUGGGUUCCAUCCCUGGCCCUGGAACUUCUGCAUGCUGUGGGUGUGGCCAAAAAAAAAAAAAGACCAUCAGUAACUGUUGAAUAUGAGUGAAGGGAUAGGCAAGAGUUCUCUUAAUAUUCCCGUAACUCUUCUGUAAGUUUGAAUCAUUUCAAAGUACAAAAAA